GAGUUUGAUCAUGGCUCAGGACGAACGCUGGCGGCGUGCCUAACACAUGCAAGUCGAGCGGAGCCAAUCGACGGAAUCUUUCGGGAGGAAGACGAGGAAGCUUAGCGGCGGACGGGUGAGUAACGCGUGAGUAACCUGCCCAUAAGAGGGGGAUAACACAUUGAAAAGUGUGCUAAUACCGCAUAUUGAGCGAUGACCGCAUGGUCGAUGCUUGAAAGAUUUAUCGCUUAUGGAUGGACUCGCGUCUGAUUAGCUAGUUGGCGGGGUAACGGCCCACCAAGGCGACGAUCAGUAGCCGAACUGAGAGGUUGAUCGGCCACAUUGGGACUGAGACACGGCCCAGACUCCUACGGGAGGCAGCAGUGGGGAAUAUUGCGCAAUGGGGGAACCCUGACGCAGCAACGCCGCGUGAAGG
rnacentral:rRNA from 1 species